GAUGAACGCUGGCGGCGUGCUUAACACAUGCAAGUCGAACGGGAAACUUUUCAUUGAAGCUUCGGCAGAUUUGGUCUGUUUCUAGUGGCGGACGGGUGAGUAACGCGUGGGUAACCUGCCUUAUACAGGGGGAUAACAACCAGAAAUGGUUGCUUAUACCGCAUAAGCGCACAGGACCGCAUGGCCCGGUGUGAAAAACUCCGGUGGUAUAAGAUGGACCCGCGUUGGAUUAGCUGGUUGGCAGGGUAACGGCCUACCAAGGCGACGAUCCAUAGCCGGCCUGAGAGGGUGAACGGCCACAUUGGGACUGAGACACGGCCCAGACUCCUACGGGAGGCAGCAGUGGGGAAUAUUGCACAAUGGGGGAAACCCUGAUGCAGCGACGCCGCGUGAAGGAAGAAGUAUCUCGGUAUGUAAACUUCUAUCAGCAGGGAAGAUAGUGACGGUACCUGACUAAGAAGCCCCG
rnacentral:rRNA from 1 species